rnacentral:rRNA from 1 species
UACGGAGGAUCCAAGCGUUAUCCGGAUUUAUUGGGUUUAAAGGGUGCGUAGGCGGCUUUUUAAGCCAGGGGUGAAAGACGGUAGCUCAACUAUCGCAGUGCCCUUGAUACUGAAGAGCUUGAAUGUACUUGAGGUAGGCGGAAUGUGACAAGUAGCGGUGAAAUGCAUAGAUAUGUCACAGAACACCAAUUGCGAAGGCAGCUUACUAAAGUAUGAUUGACGCUGAGGCACGAAAGCGUGGGGAUCAAACAGG